UUCCUCCUGAGCCAGAGUGUGGAUAAGAAAGAGGAAGAGGAGCCGUUGAUAGUUCAGGGUUCUUCAGAAUCUGUCCCUGGCUCCCCUCUGGCAGUGGACUCUCCUUUGUCCCUCAAGCAGAGGCCAUUGCUCCCGAGGAACAGGCUGGAGGGGAUCGGAGGAGCCGUGUCACAGGGCAUUGAAAAUAUGCAGGGAGCCUCUCCCUCAUCUCACCUUUGCGGAGGAAUGGAAGCUGUGCCUGUGCAGCCAGAACAGG